rnacentral:rRNA from 1 species
AGAACGAACGCUGGCGGCAUGCCUAAUACAUGCAAGUCGAACGAACACUUCGGUGUUAGUGGCGCACGGGUGCGUAACGCGUGGGAAUCUGCCCCUUGGUUCGGAAUAACAGCGAGAAAUUGCUGCUAAUACCGGAUGAUGACGUAAGUCCAAAGAUUUAUCGCCCAAGGAUGAGCCCGCGUAGGAUUAGCUUGUUGGUGAGGUAAGAGCUCACCAAGGCGACGAUCCUUAGCUGGUCUGAGAGGAUGAUCAGCCACACUGGGACUGAGACACGGCCCAGACUCCUACGGGAGGCAGCAGUGGGGAAUAUUGGACAAUGGGCGAAAGCCUGAUCCAGCAAUGCCGCGUGAGUGAUGAAGGCCUUAGGGUGUAAAGCUCUUUUACCCGGAUGAUAAUGACAGUACCGGAGAAUAAGCUCCGGCUAACUCCGUGCCAGCAGCCGC